UACGGAGGGAGCUAGCGUUGUUCGGAAUUACUGGGCGUAAAGCGCGCGUAGGCGGCUUUGUAAGUUAGAGGUGAAAGCCCGGGGCUCAACUCCGGAACUGCCUUUAAGACUGCAUCGCUUGAAUCCGGGAGAGGUGAGUGGAAUUCCGAGUGUAGAGGUGAAAUUCGUAGAUAUUCGCAAGAACACCAGUGGCGAAGGCGGCUCACUGGUCCGGUACUGACGCUGAGACGCGAAAGCGUGGGGAGCGAACAGG
rnacentral:rRNA from 1 species